GCCUCAAGGACAGGGCGGCUUGGAGAGCUUCCACCUCCAAAAUGGUCUGAACAUCACUUUCCAAAUGGCUGCUAGUGCCCUCCUCCUGGGCAACAUGGCUUCUCAGAUGCCAGCUGGGCUAAAACCCAAAGAGGCAGAUGCAUUCGGAGUCCAUCCUGAAGCUGAGGGUUCCUAGCCCCCAGGAACCUUGUAGGAGGACGUUCAGGGUUGGCUGAUCCCUCUUGUGGCCACCAAGGUCUUUGCUUCACACCCUGGGUGAGCUACCCUGGCUUUGUGUCCCCUGCUUGAAGAAGGGACAAGAGGGGACAUAAGCUUGGCCUGAUGUGGACUGACACCCGAGCUGCUUUAGAGAGCAAUUGAUCCUGGGGAAUCUGGCUGUAUGCCAACAGUCAUCUGUCCCGCUGUGCUACUUCUGAGCAUUUCUUGAAUUCUCCCUCAUCCCAGACAGAGUUCUAGCAUGUGAGGACAUGACUAUAAAAUCGUGAUUUUUUUUUUAGGUGAUUUUGUUCUAAUGAGAGAAAUUCUUCAAAACACAGAAUAGGGGCUGGGGUGGGGUGCAGAUGGGGGAGGUCCCAUGGUGAAAAGGACUUGCUUCUUUUCUAGAGGACCCAGCUUUAAUUAUCAGCACCCACAUGAAGACUCACAGUUCCAGGGUAUCAUGCAACCCUCUUCUGGCUUCCUUGGGUACCAGACAUGCAUGUGAUGCAUAGACAUAUGCACAGGCAAAACACCCAUAUUCGAUAGAUAGAUAGAUAGAUAGAUAGAUAGAUAGAUAGAUAGAUAGAUAGAUAGAUAGAGACAUAUUAUAUAUAUAUAGUCAGAAUUGAAAGUAUAGAUAGAUAUAGAGAUAUAUAUAUAUACAUUACACACACACACACACUAGAAUUGAAAGUACACACCAGAACGUGAGUCUUGUCAAAACCUGGUCCUUAGGAUGAAAGACUCUAAGGUACUGUGUGGCAAUUGCAUGUAGGCUUCACAACUCAGCUCUACCUGGCUGAAUCUUAUUCCUUAGCCUUUAGUCGCUCUCAUUCAAGAAAACUUGAACAUUUUUUUCCUCCUUGUUGUUGUGGGAGAGCUGAAGUGAGAAGCCGGAGAGUUGAGAAAUGCUAACCUGGUAGACAGUAGCUCUGGGGUGUUCUAGAAACACACAAGCCAAACCCGACUGAGAGACCAGAAACUUCCUUGGAAAACAAGGCACGUGAGACAAAUUUUGAAGCAGAAGGAGAGAUUCCCCAGGAGAACAGUGGGAAGGGUUGGGGACCCAGGGAGUAAAGUUUGUAAAGGCUGAGGAUACUGAAGGCCUGGGCAAGGACUUGUGGGUGCACCGGGGGACAAGCCAGAGGUGGGAUGGGAGAGGACAGUGUGGUCAGUUACUGCAAAGUCUUGUCACUUAUCAAGGACUUGGGGAACCAACAAAAAGGCUUCCCAUAAGAUUUUGGUAUAUUUGGGUUUGUGUUUUGAAAAUGCACGGGGAAGAGAGGAACAAGCCUUGUGAGUUGGCAGUACCACUAGAAACGCACCUGAGAGGAGACUGAAGGCUGAGUCCCAUGCAGGAAGGCCAUUUAGAAGAAAACAUUGCUGAGAGAGAGAGAGAGAGAGAGAGAAUAUAUCAAUAUGUGGUUUUUAAGCAAUUGGCUUAAAUUCAGAUCCUCAAAAAUCCACGUUUUGCCCCCCCUCCACCAUUUGAAGAAUGUGGCCAUAGUGUGAAGUCACCACCUUCUUGGUUUGCAUCUAUAUCACAUACUAAGUGCCCAGUCGUCUUUUCUGCCUACUUGGGUGCUAAUAUAAAAUGUCACCCUUUAAGCUAGCCUGAAUCAUGGCUAUCCUGAACCCUUCUAUCCCAUCCCAAUGAACGUGAUACUUUUCAUUUUGUGAUACGAGGAUGAACUAACUGGACAAGUUCUCUCCACUCCUCAAGGCAGCGUGUGGAUCUGCACCCAAGUUCAGCUUCCUUCUCAGCCAGUGUCUGCUUUCAUCUAGACUGAAGUUUCACCUAAAACUUCCCAUAAAUACCCUGGGCCUCCAGUGAUUUUCAAGUGUAUUUUCCCAAAUGUCACAGAAGGAGAUGCAUAAAUCUAGGUGGCUGGUGCUUGUUCUCAUUAUAUUAUAUAUAAUGGAUUAUAUUAUAUAUAGUGGAUUAUAUAGAACACACUGAAGGGUCAGGGUUUUCCCAACAGUAUACCCUCCUACCAGAAUGGCCAGCAGAAAACCCAGAAAUAAAUACUACUAGCUAUCAUUUAAUUAAGUCAGGGUCACUACUCAAAUAAAUGAUUCUAUCCAGAAUAUAAUUAUUGAUGCAAUGUGCAACGUAAAUUACAAUCUGCUCAAUAUAUUCCCAAUUCAUUUAGAUCAAAGAAAGCUCAGAAUGUAGGCUUCUGGGCUUUAUUCACUAAACCAUCCCCCAAUGCCUCUUCCUGGAGCCCCCAGUAGUUCACGAUGACCAACAUAUUCGCCACAAUGUAAGCAGCAGCCUAGAAGAAACCUGGGGACCAUCUCUCAGACCUCUCAGAUGUGAUGUGGAGGGUCCUAAGCUGUGCUGGUCCACCAUGAGUCAGGAUCCACUCUUUUCUAACCUAAGACGUUGACUGUUGUUCUGCAUACGCUGUUGGGUAGGUGGUCUUGGAUUUCCACUGUGCGGAGUGCCCGAAGUCAUGGCUGCACUCCAGAACUCCCAGGCUGUGGCCAAGAAUAAAGUAAAUGCUGACGAGAGAGGACGUUCCUGCCUACAUUUCUCUACUGACCUUGCUUUUUGUGUUCACCCUAAUUCCUCACUGCACACACAGAUAAUUGAAUUGUUAACUCAAGCUUUUCUUUUUGUCCUUAUUUUAGCAUUUCGUAUCGUAAACGAACAGCUGCUUACU
rnacentral:lncRNA from 1 species